AUUGAACGCUGGCGGCAUGCUUUACACAUGCAAGUCGAACGGUAACAGGGAGCUUGCUCCGCUGACGAGUGGCGAACGGGUGAGUAAUGCGUCGGAACGUGCCGAGUAGUGGGGGAUAACGCAUCGAAAGGUGUGCUAAUACCGCAUACGAACUGAGGUUGAAAGUGGGGGACCUUCGGGCCUCACGCUACUCGAGCGGCCGACGUCUGAUUAGCUAGUUGGUGAGGUAAAGGCUCACCAAGGCGACGAUCAGUAGCGGGUCUGAGAGGAUGGUCCGCCACACUGGGACUGAGACACGGCCCAGACUCCUACGGGAGGCAGCAGUGGGGAAUUUUGGACAAUGGGCGCAAGCCUGAUCCAGCCAUGCCGCGUGUCUGAAGAAGGCCUUCGGGUUGUAAAGGACUUUUGUCCGGGAGCAAAUGCUGGUGGCUAACAUCCACCGGAGCUGAGAGUACCGGAAGAAUAAGCACCGGCUAACUACGUGCCAGCAGCCGCCGUAAGAC
rnacentral:rRNA from 1 species